CAGCAGUGGGGAAUUUUGGACAAUGGGGGCAACCCUGAUCCAGCAAUGCCGCGUGAGUGAAGAAGGCCUUCGGGUUGUAAAGCUCUUUUGUCAGGGAAGAAACACCGGCUCUAACACAGUCCGGGAAUGACGGUACCUGAAGAAUAAGCACCGGCUAACUACGUGCCAGCAGCCGCGGUAAUACGUAGGGUGCGAGCGUUAAUCGGAAUUACUGGGCGUAAAGCGUGCGCAGGCGGUUAUACAAGACAGGCGUGAAAUCCCCGGGCUUAACCUGGGAAUGGCGCCUGUGACUGUAUAGCUAGAGUGUGUCAGAGGGGGUAGAAUUCCACGUGUAGCAGUGAAAUGCGUAGAUAUGUGGAGGAAUACCAAUGGCGAAGGCAGCCCCCUGGGAUAACACUGACGCUCAUGCACGAAAGCGUGGGGACGCAAACAGGAUUAGAUACCCUGGUAG
rnacentral:rRNA from 1 species